UACGUAGGGAGCAAGCGUUGUUCGGAUUUACUGGGCGUAAAGGGCGCGUAGGCGGCAGAUCAAGUCAGCUGUGAAAUCUCCGAGCUUAACUCGGAACUGUCAGCUGAUACUGUUUUGCUAGAGUGCGGAAGAGGCAACCGGAAUUCCCAGUGUAGCGGUGAAAUGCGUAGAUAUUGGGAAGAACACCGGAGGCGAAGGCGGGUUGCUGGGCCGACACUGACGCUGAGGCGCGAAAGCCAGGGGAGCAAACGGG
rnacentral:rRNA from 1 species